rnacentral:rRNA from 1 species
GCAUGGCCAGGUUGAAGGUUGGGUAACACCAACUGGAGGACCGAACCCACAUCCGUUGAAAAGGAUCGGGAUGAGCUGUGCCUAGGGGUGAAAGGCCAAUCAAACUCGGAGAUAGCUGGUUCUCUGCGAAAUCUAUUUAGGUAGAGCGUCAUCCGAAUACCCCCGGGGGUAGAGCACUGGAUGGGUAAUGGGGCCCCACAGGCUUACUGAUCCUAACCAAACUCCGAAUACCGGGGAGUACUAGAUGGCAGACACACAGCGGAUGCUAACGUCCGUUGUGGAGAGGGAAACAACCCUGACCUACAGCUAAGGCCCCCAAUUCAUGGCUAAGUGGGAAAGCAGGUGGGACGACCAAAACAACCAGGAGGUUGGCUUAGAAGCAGCCACCCUUUAAAGAGUGCGUAAUAG